ensembl:lncRNA
AUGGUUUACAGAGAGAGAGAGAGACAGAGAGCGAGAGAGAGCGAGAGAGAAAGAGAAAGAGAGAAUGAAAGACAGAGAAAGGGAAAGCGAGAGAGAGAGAAUGAAAGAGAGAGAUUGUGUUACAGUAAUGCAGACUUUUCUCUCCAUUUUAUCUAUCUGCUGCUUGUUUAUUCCUCCCUGCUGCAUCCCUCUCUUCCUCUCUCCACUCCUCUCUCUAUCUACAUCCCUCUCUUCCUCUCUCCACUCCUCUCUCUAUCUACAUCCCUCUCUUCCUCCCUCCACUCCUCUCUCUGUCUACAUCCCUCUCUUCCUCCUUCCACUCCUCUCUCUAUCUACAUCCCUCUCUUCCUCUCUCCACUCCUCUCUCUAUCUACAUCCCUCUCUUCCUCCCUCUACUCCUCUCUCUAUCUACAUCCCUCUCUUCCUCUCUCCACUCCUCUCUCUAUCUACAUCCCUCUCUUCCUCUCUCCACUCCUCUCUCUAUCUACAUCCCUCUCUUCCUCCCUCUACUCCUCUCUCUAUCUACAUCCCUCUCUUCCUCUCUCCACUCCUCUCUCUAUCUACAUCCCUCUCUUCCUCUCUCCACUCCUCUCUCUAUCUACAUCCCUCUCUUCCUCUCUCUAUCUACAUCCCUCUCUUCCUCUCUCCACUCCUCUCUCUAUCUACAUCCAUCUCUUCCUCUCUCCACUCCUCUCUCUAUCUACAUCCCUCUCUUCCUCUCUCCACUCCUCUCUCUAUCUACAUCCCUCUCUUCCUCUCUCCACUCCUCUCUCUAUCUACAUCCCUCUCUUCCUCUCUCCACUCCUCUCUCUAUCUACAUCCCUCUCUUCCUCCUUCCACUCCUCUCUCUAUCUACAUCCCUCUCUUCCUCCCUCCACUCCUCUCUCUAUCUACAUCCCUCUCUUCCUCCUUCCACUCCUCUCUCUAUCUACAUCCCUCUCUUCCUCCCUCCACUCCUCUCUCUAUCUACACCCCUCUCUUCCUCCUUCCACUCCUCUCUCUAUCUACAUCCCUCUCUUCCUCUCUCUACUCCUCUCUCUAUCUUCCUCCCUCCACUCCUCUCUCUAUCUACAUCCCUCUCUUCCUCUCUCCACUCCUCUCUCUAUCUACAUCCCUCUCUUCCUCUCUCCACUCCUCUCUCUAUCUACAUCCCUCUCUUCCUCUCUCCACUCCUCUCUCUAUCUACAUCCCUCUCUUCCUCUCUCCACUCCUCUCUCUAUCUACAUCCCUCUCUUCCUCCUUCCACUCCUCUCUCUAUCUACAUCCCUCUCUUCCUCUCUCCACUCCUCUCUCUAUCUUCCUCCCUCCACUCCUCUCUCUAUCUACAUCCCUCUCUUCCUCUCUCCACUCCUCUCUCUAUCUACAUCCCUCUCUUCCUCUCUCCACUCCUCUCUCUAUCUACAUCCCUCUCUUCCUCUCUCCACUCCUCUCUCUAUCUACAUCCCUCUCUUCCUCUCUCCACUCCUCUCUCUAUCUACAUCCCUCUCUUCCUCCUUCCACUCCUCUCUCUAUCUACAUCCCUCUCUUCCUCUCUCCACUCCUCUCUCUAUCUUCCUCCCUCCACUCCUCUCUCUAUCUACAUCCCUCUCUUCCUCUCUCCACUCCUCUCUCUAUCUACAUCCCUCUCUUCCUCUCUCCACUCCUCUCUCUAUCUACAUCCCUCUCUUCCUCUCUCCACUCCUCUCUCUAUCUACAUCCCUCUCUUCCUCCCUCCACUCCUCUCUCUAUCUUCCUCCCUCCACUCCUCUCUCUAUCUACAUCCCUCUCUUCCUCCCUCUACUCCUCUCUCUAUCUACAUCCCUCUCUUCCUCCUUCCACUCCUCUCUCUAUCUUCAUCCCUCUCUUCCUCCCCCCCUCCUCUCUCUAUCUACAUCCCUCUCUUCCUCCCUCCACUCCUCUCUCUAUCUACAUCCCUCUCUUCCUCCCUCCACUCCUCUCUCUAUCUACAUCCUUCUCUUCCUCCCUCCACUCCUCUCUCUAUCUACAUCCCUCUCUUCCUCCCUCUGUCCCUCUCUCUAUCUACAUCCCUCUCUUCCUUCCUCUGUCCCUCUCUCUAUCUACAUCCCUCUCUUCCUCCCUCUGUCCCUCUCUCUAUCUACAUCCCUCUCUUCCUCCCUCCACUCCUCUCUCUAUCUACAUCCCUCUAUUCCUCCCUCCACUCCUCUCUCUAUCUACAUCCAUCUUCCUCCCUCUACUCCUCUCUCCAUCUCUCUCUCUAUCUACAUCCCUCUCUUCCUCCCUCCACUCCUCUCUCCAUCCCUCUCUCUAUCUACAUCCAUAUUCCUCCCUCCACUCCUCUCUCAUCCCUCUCUCUAUCUAUAUCCCUCUCUUCCUCUCUCAUCCCUCUCUCUAUCUACAUCCAUCUUCCUCCCUCCACUCCUCUCUCCAUCCCUCUCUCUAUCUACAUCCAUCUUCCUCUCUCCAUCCCUCUCUCUAUCUACAUCCAUCCUCCUCCCUUCACUCCUCUCUCAUCCCUCUCUAUCUACAUCCAUCUUCCUCCCUCCACUUCUCUCUCCAUCCCUCUCUCUAUCUACAUCCGCACCAGACACGGCAGGUGAGAUGGGUGAAACAGGUGGUGAAUGA